CACGUGAGUAACCUGCCCCAGACUCUGGAAUAACCCCGGGAAACCGGAGCUAAUACCGGAUACGAGACGGAGCCGCAUGGCUACCGUUUGGAAAGUUUUUCGGUCUGGGAUGGACUCGCGGCCUAUCAGUUAGUUGGUGAGGUAACGGCUCACCAAGACGACGACGGGUAGCCGGCCUGAGAGGGCGACCGGCCACACUGGGACUGAGACACGGCCCAGACUCCUACGGGAGGCAGCAGUGGGGAAUAUUGCACAAUGGGCGAAAGCCUGAUGCAGCGACGCCGCGUGAGGGAUGAAGGC
rnacentral:rRNA from 1 species